CAUUGGGUCCUGAACUUCUAUGCAAAUAAGACAACCUUAAAAAAUGUAACUGAAAACCAGUAACUCAUGAUGUUUUGUCACAUUGCUUUAUUUUGAAAGGUCAUUAAGCCGAAACACUUUUUUAGGGCUUAGAGUUGUAAAGAAAUGUAGAAUAUUUUGUUCAGAAAUAUAAAGCGCACAGGUGACAUAAAGGUCACGUUCUUACUUGGAAACAAUGGCAUUACCGCCACCUGGUGCAAGAAAUAAAUAACAUUUUGUACAGUAAUAGUUAUUUGAAGGACAUCAUUACCCAGAACGUCAGGUCUGACAGGUAAGUGAACCAAUGGGCAUCAAAUAACUUGGAUGGACAUUUUGUUCACUGCAGAACAUAACGCACACACAUGUGCAACUGUGGACGUUCUGUUCCAACAGCAGAACAAAGGCUUUUGGGUCAGAAACCCUGUGAAGCACAACAACAGUCAGGACAUCUGCACUCGGCUUUAAAUUGAGAUCAAACCUCCCUCUGAGAUCACAGUUCCUGCCCUCACGUUGUAAUUGGCAGAUGGAUCUGAAACUUCCCUGGCUGUUUGUACACUAUUACCAGUGAUUUGGAUCCAAAACUACUUUUACAUUCUGAUUUUCUUCUUGUUGCUCCAUGGAAGGAAGGUUAGGGUUAAAGUUCGAGGUCUGGUUUUCGUGUGGAGCCAUGCAAAUCAGUGUUUCGUUGCUUCCCAAUGACAUAAAAAUAUUAGUUUAAUCUGUAAACCAGUGUUGCUGACAACCACCACUCAUGCUGCUCCACUCUGACUAUUACCAGGGGGAAAGUGUCCCUACGAGGAUAUAAAGAAACUAUUUAUAUGAGCAGGUCCUCAUCUUGUUGUAGCUUAUGCUCAGCAUUUAUUUUUAAUGUCUUGUACCAAAGUUGAAGUUAAAACGUCCUAACAUCUUGUUGUUGCUGACCUCCAGUGGUUUAGCUUCUCAUCCUUCUGCAGCGAUGUAGAAGUGUGUGUGUGUUAGUACAUUGUUACAUCACUAUUGAUCCAAACUCCAGACACUUUAAGGGUACAGGAAUACUGCGUUUCAGUGUGGUGUCAAUCUACUCUUCAUCCUGUAAAUGUUUAGUGCAUGCAAGCUAGAGAACAUGAAGAAGAUAAAUUGCAAAAUGGCAGAGAAGAAGAAGGAAAA